UCCCUGGCGGUCCAGUGGUUAGGACUCCACACUUUCACUGUUGAGGGCACAGGUUCAAUACCCGGUUGGGGAA
rnacentral:tRNA from 1 species